rnacentral:rRNA from 1 species
GAUGAACGCUGGCGGCGUGCCUAAUACAUGCAAGUCGAGCGAACGGACGAGAAGCUUGCUUUUCUGAUGUUAGCGGCGGACGGGUGAGUAACACGUGGAUAACCUACCUAUAAGACUGGGAUAACUUCGGGAAACCGGAGCUAAUACCGGAUAAUAUUUUGAACCGCAUGGUUCAAAAGUGAAAGACGGUCUUGCUGUUACUUAUAGAUGGAUCCGCGCUGCAUUAGCUAGUUGGUAAGGUAACGGCUUACCAAGGCAACGAUGCAUAGCCGACCUGAGAGGGUGAUCGGCCACACUGGAACUGAGACACGGUCCAGACUCCUACGGGAGGCAGCAGUAGGGAAUCUUCCGCAAUGGGCGAAAGCCUGACGGAGCAACGCCGCGUGAGUGAUGAAGGUCUUCGGAUCGUAAAACUCUGUUAUUAGGGAAGAACAUAUGUGUAAGUAACUGUGCACAUCUUGACGGUACCUAAUCAGAAAGCCACGGCUAACUACGUG